rnacentral:snRNA from 1 species
GUCCACUGAAAUGAAAGG